rnacentral:lncRNA from 1 species
UUCGGUUCCAGUGUUAAAAUCAUAUCCUUUCAUUUUUCUCUGAAACUUUGAAAAUGUCUCUGUUCAGUCCUUUGUGUGUACUUCUCAGGCAGUACUGAAGACAGAGAGAUAAAAGGGGCGGUGCUGACACACGUAGAUGACUGGGGCUCUGACAAUGACCGUGAGCUGAUGACCUGAGUCACACAAACUGGAAAACAAAGUUUUUCCCUAAGGAGUUGGACUUUUAAAAACUUUUUAUUGGCUGCUUUUGGAUUAAGGUGUUUAGGACCAGCAUUAUGAGCAGAAGGACUCAGUGUGUAUGAAGAAGAAACCAAGUUUUUCUACAGCAGAAGAGGAGGAAUUUGCCUUUGCAAAAUGUUAUACUGUUUUAUCUGUCGCUGAACGUGUCUGGGCAGUGGCUGUUCUCCCAGGUCUGAGUCCUGAAAAGGGAAAGAGAAAGAGAUUGUAGGACACGGUGAAAUGAUACACGAAACAGCGUUUCCCCAGCUUCUUAUUUGCCUGUACAUUUCUCAUAAAUGGAGUAAAUGCUGAACAAGCUGACUUUCUCCCAUCAUUCCUGUAAAUAAGGAUAUGACUCACAGACCUUGCAAUCUCUAAAAUGCCAUAGCUACUACAGUGAUUUGAUUAUUUAAAAAUAGCUGGGGAAAAAAACAGCAAGAAAUUGGUCCUGGGUAAGUUAGGAUGAAUUCUUUUCUGUUUGUUUUUGUUUAUCAUUUAAAUUGUUAUUGUAUCUCACCCUAAGUAUUCUGACAACAUCUAGUUUGCCAAACAAAUCUUAGGGAUUUAUGAGUUCUGGAAACUAACAAUAUGAACGUGCUGGUCAGAUCUCAGAUCCCAGGCAAAUAAACCCAAAAAACAAAAAACAAAAGACAACAAGACACAAGGUUCACCAUGGAGUCACUGUGAUCUGCGGGCAACUAUGGAUUUGGUUAUAUGA